rnacentral:rRNA from 1 species
UACGGGGGGGGCAAGCGUUGUUCGGAAUUACUGGGCGUAAAGGGCUCGUAGGCGGCCAACUAAGUCAGACGUGAAAUCCCUCGGCUUAACCGGGGAACUGCAUCUGAUACUGGAUGGCUUGAGUUCGGGAGAGGGAUGCGGAAUUCCAGGUGUAGCGGUGAAAUGCGUAGAUAUCGGGAGGAACACCUGAGGCGAAGGCGGGCUACUGGGCCGAUACUGACGCUGAGGCGCGAAAGCCAGGGGAGCAAACGGG